AGAGUAGAUAAAGUUAGGUGAUAUUUCUAGUUAAUGUCUCUAAUACCAUGUCUCUAAGCAAUGAUUGCCUGAUGCCCUUCUUCACCAGAUACCAUGCUGCUAAGAAGACUAGAUAUUCAAUCAGUUCACAGGAGACAAUAUAGACAAUAACUCUACUGAAGGAAGAAAAGAUCAUGAGGAGCUGCUUUGGAAGCUAUGCAAAGAGUAAGAGAUGCAAGGGAUGGAUUAUGGUGACCCUGACUUAUUUCCCCAGCUUCUGAGAAUGCUGCUGGAAGAUGAUCCUCAGCUGUCAGCCUUCUAUAGGAAUUUCCUCAGAAGAAAACUGCCUUGCCCAAGGUCAUGACUCCUUUCCAGGAUAGCUGGUAUCCUGUGAUCCAUCAGAGUGGGAAUAUAAAGGUCUGACCCCAUGUUCCAACUCAGGACAGUUCUGAAGGGCUGUCCCAGCCGCACAGCUACAUGUGGGGUCAGCUGAGGCUUCACUGGGACUGCACUGCGGCUCAGCUUCUACCUCUGCCCGAUCCUACUUCAUUCUCUUCUCUUCCAUGAGUAUUGAUCCUGAAUGCACUCCUCAGUAAGCUUCCCACACACUAAUCUCCUUCUCAAACUCUGCUUCUGAGGAAACCCAAUCGGAGACAAUAGAAUAUUGUCUCCAGUACCUGAACUCACUACAUGCCUGUAACCAGGCAUAUAACUAAUUACAGUUCCUCAACAUGCCAAAAGGAUCUGUACAUAUUCUCCCUGCCUCAAGUACCCAGGCCAUUUUAGUCAAGCCUACUCACAUUCAUGCUCCAAGACUAAGCUCAAGACAGUUUUACCACCUCCUUGAAGCCUCCUCUAACCGCACUGCCAUUCCCAACAUGUGCUCUUCCAGAAGCCUGUGCCUCCAUUGAUCACAUAUUUCACUGUAUCAAUCUGGAAUUAUAGAUUUACUUGUCUGUACAAGACUGAGACUUCCUUAAACUCAACAUUUGUCUGGUCUUUCAUUUUUGUAUUCUAAUGCUAAUACAGGGCAUCUGAUAAUGAUGGGCAUUCAAUAAAUGUUUUUUAAAUGA